GAUGAACGCUGGCGGCGUGCCUAAUACAUGCAAGUCGAGCGAACAGACGAGGAGCUUGCUCCUCUGACGUUAGCGGCGGACGGGUGUGUAACACGUGGAUAACCUACCUAUAAGACUGGGAUAACUUCGGGAAACCGGAGCUAAUACCGGAUAAUAUAUUGAACCGCAUGGUUCAAUAGUGAAAGACGGUUUUGCUGUCACUUAUAGAUGGAUCCGCGCCGCAUUAGCUAGUUGGUAAGGUAACGGCUUACCAAGGCGACGAUGCGUAGCCGACCUGAGAGGGUGAUCGGCCACACUGGAACUGAGACACGGUCCAGACUCCUAAGGGAGGCAGCAGUAGGGAAUCUUCCGCAAAGGGCGAAAGCCUGACGGAGCAACGCCGCGUGAGUGAUGAAGGUCUUCGGAUCGUAAAACUCUGUUAUUAGGGAAGAACAAAUGUGUAAGUAACUAUGCACGUCUUGACGGUACCUAAUCAGAAAGCCACGGCUAACUACGUG
rnacentral:rRNA from 1 species